rnacentral:rRNA from 1 species
GAUGAACGCUGGCGGCGUGCCUAAUACAUGCAAGUCGAGCGAACAGAUAAGGAGCUUGCUCCUUUGACGUUAGCGGCGGACGGGUGAGUAACACGUGGGUAACCUACCUAUAAGACUGGAAUAACUCCGGGAAACCGGGGCUAAUGCCGGAUAACAUUUAGAACCGCAUGGUUCUAAAGUGAAAGAUGGUUUUACUAUCACUUAUAGAUGGACCCGCGCCGGAUUAGCUAGUUGGUAAGGUAACGGCUUACCAAGGCAACGAUACGUAGCCGACCUGAGAGGGGGAUCGGCCACACUGGAACGGAGACACGGUCCAUGCGCCUACGGGAGGCAGCAGUAGGGAAUCGGACGCAAUGGGCGAAAGCCUGACGGAGCAGCGCGGCGUGAGUGACGAAGGUCUUCGGAGCGUAAAACUCUGUUAUGAGGGAAGAACAAAUGUGUAAGUAACUGUGCACGUCUUGACGGUACCUAAUCAGAAAGCCACGGCUAACUACGUG